AGGAGGAGGAGGGGGAAAUAGAGAGAGAGAGAGCUGCUAAUACUCCUCCUCACCCCUGAGUCACUCAGCUCCUCUACACUGAGGGGCAGCAGUGUGAUGGCCACGCUGAGACGGCCACUUCCGAGACUGACCAGAUGGGGGCGCUCUGCCUGGACCUUCAGCCCGUUUCCUGUCUCAAUCAGGUCCAGUGGGGUGCUCUGUGGAGGCAAGCAAAGGAUUACAAGUGUUGCUCAGGUUGAUCUCGGGGGGAAGGCAGGGAGCAGCUGGGAGAACAGUGACAGGGAAUGAAUACUUUGUGGCAGAGCACAUCAUGUUAAACAUCAUGAUAAGCUGAUGAGAGAAAGGAAAGUUCUACCUGAAAGCGAACCUUCUUCAACAUCAUGU